rnacentral:rRNA from 1 species
AAAAAAGGUAAGCUACUAAGAGCGAAUGGUGGAUGCCUUGACUGGUAAAGGCGAUGAAGGACGUACUAGACUGCGAUAAGCUACGGGGAGCUGUCAAGAAGCUUUGAUCCGUAGAUUUCCGAAUGGGGCAACCCAAUGUAUAGAGAUAUACAUUACCUAUAUAGGAGCGAACGAGGGGAAUUGAAACAUCUUAGUACCCUCAGGAAAAGAAAUCAAUAGAGAUUGUGUCAGUAGCGGCGAGCGAAAGCGCAAGAGGGCAAACCCAGUGCUUGCACUGGGGGUUG